CCUACGGGAGGCAGCAGUGAGGAAUAUUGGUCAAUGGGCGCGAGCCUGAACCAGCCAAGUAGCGUGAAGGAUGACUGUCCUACGGAUUGUAAACUUCUUUUGUAAAGGAAUAAAGUGAGGCACGAGUGCCGGUUUGUGUGUAUUUGAUGAAUAAGGAUCGGCUAACUCCGUGCCAGCAGCCGCGGUAAUACGGAGGAUUCGAGCGUUAUCCGGAUUUCUUGGGUUUAAAGGGAGCGUAGAUGGUUUGUUAAGUCAGUUGUUAAAGUUUGCGGCUCAACCGUCAAACUGCCAUUGAAACUGGCAGCCUUGAGUUGAGGUGAGGUAGGCGGAAUUCGUGGUGUAGCGGUGAAAUGCAUAGAUAUCACGCAGAACUCCGAUUGCGAAGGCAGCAUACUAGCCUGCCACUGACAUUGAUGCACGAAAGUGUGGGUAUCGAACAGGAUUAGAUACCCUAGUAGUC
rnacentral:rRNA from 1 species